rnacentral:lncRNA from 1 species
UUAGUUUAGUUUCUUAAGUCUCGUUGUAUUUCCUUUGUCAUUGUUAUCCACGAGAAUUGACCUGUUUGACUUAUCUUAUUUUUCAGAAAUUAAAAAAGUACGUAAAUAUAAAGUUGUUUCUCGACCCACUCGUAAACAUACUAAGAAUUGUAAAGAGAUUGCUCAAUGCCCAGAACUCAACAAACUGUAAUAAUCUUGUUAGCAAAACCCUAGACUUCUAAAUUCUAAUUUGCAUUAAGGUGCAUUAGAGCAACCAUAACUGGGCUCAGAAUCUCAUGUUGUUGCUAUAAUUGAGAGCAGGAUAGCGAGGAUCAUCUUCCGGACUUGUAGUUGGCUCUCCAAAAAUUCUCAACAAAUCUGGCGAGGUAACCUCUCUCCCCUAUCUCUAUAUUUUGUUACUUUAAUCUUUACUUUUUGUUUUUACUACACCUGUUCUCCUAAUUAUUGUUAUCUUUCCGGAAUGGCAGCAAUAUGAAGUACUAAAGCCUGGUGGAUAAUCAAGGCUGUUGUGUUGAUACAAGUCUGUAUGAAUAGAUAUGAAAGAUUCUUCGCAAGCCAGGUACACAUCCUCAUAUAUGUUGAAUGUCUAGGUUAGUUACUAUAUUUUUGUUUGUUGUGUUCCAUGAAAUGCCUGAAUGAAAUUUAGCAACAAAAGAAUUCUUCUGGCUGAAACUGAGUAUUUGUCAUCAAUGUGAAAUUUGGUAAAACCAACUGAGUUAAAUCUAUAUAAUAUCUUCGAAAAUAAAGUAAUCAAAUAGUUACUUGAUUUAGCUACUAUGGUUGGAGCAAAACCUUUUCUUUUGUUUAGGAAGGUUAGCGAUGAUGUCAUACCUUUGUUGCCACUGAUCUUCUCUCCAAUCUCCACUUGAAGCUGUAACCACUUCCAUUAAAUACUAAAGUGUACAACUGUGUAGCAGUCAAGUGCUUCUCCUAAUGCAAAAGCAGCCAUGCUGGUCAAUUUUUACAUUCAGUAUUGUAAGAUUUAUCUGAUAAUCAGGGGCAUAACUUCUAAUUUAACACCAUUUUUUUUUGUUCCAUAAGAGCAUCUUCGACGGUGUUGACUAAAAAUGGUUGGCGAAAUUGGACUUGUAAGACAUUAUGUAAAAUUAGUCGAACCAGUAAGGUAUUUUACUUUGAUGGUAUUGGCUAUGUUGGCUGAUUAUAUUCCAAAAAUGGUAUGUUAUUAUUAUUUCAAGUUGUUAUAAAUAGAAUAUAUUAUUUUAAAAUGGUAAUAGAUAUGUGGAAUCUUGUUACAGGUAUCUAGAGGUUGGCCUAAUAUAGCCAAUAUCAAGAGGUUGGCUAUAAUUAUAGACAAGGGUUUUGUACAAUUGGAGUGGUGAAAUUUAUACACAUUCUCUAUAAAUUUUAUUUUUGGCAUUCCAAUUGCCACCUAGAUAUUUAGCUAAGGGCUUUAUAAGGUUGAAAAUGCUCUAGUAUAUUAAUGGUUAUUAUCAUUGAUAUAUUUCUCUAGAUUCUGUUAAGCAUGUUUAAUUAACCGAUUGAUUAAUAAUUAAUAUUUUUAUAUCGUAUCCUUGAGGUACCGAUCUCAUCACUAUUGACAUUGACAUUAUUUCAUAUUUAUUAUUCGAAGUGUAUUUCUAUCACAUAAAAAAAAAAAUUAAAAACAAUUAUUUUGACAAUAAUAUGA